CCUGCCGCCCGCCCACGGCCACCCCGCCUCGGGCGCCAGGCCGACGACCGCCGCGGCGCCGCUCGCCCCAUCCCGUCAUCGCCGACUCCCACCUGGCCACAGUCGUCGCCCGGCAGACCAGGGUCGGCGCCGCCCGUCGCCCCGCGCCCCUGCCCUCGCCCUGCCGACAGGCGGCUGCCGUGGUGCCGCCUGAUGCCGACCCCGACCUGGCAAUCUGCUCUACUUGGCGCUUUGCCUCCAUGCUUGGCUGCUGCUCCCUGCUCGCCCAGUCAGUCGUCGCCCCGCCCGAUUUGUAUUGGGCUAUUUGAAUUGGGUAAAACAUGAAGAGGCAAGGAGAUAUUGCAUCGCUCUUCUGGAAUCAUGAAGCUAAAUCAAAGAAAAAUACAGCCUGGUCUUUUGACCAGUUGUUGAUGAACCUUAGUUAACUCAAGAAGAACCACAUUGGUUCUGACGGUUGAUGAAGUCCAACCCACGAACAAGAGCUUUAUACGGUACAGGAGAAGAGUAGGACCAGCUCGUUGCUUCGAGUGUGGUGCGCUUGAUCACAUCCGCUCGCAUUGUUCUAAGCUCGGAAGAGGCAAGAAGGAAGAUAAUGAUGGAGACAAGACCAAGGACGAUAAGCCCAAGUUCAAGAGCACAUUCCAGGGAAGAAGAACCAAAGAGAACAUCAAGAAGAUGCUGAAUCAAAUCUAUGCCGAUUUUGAGUCCCUAAGCGAUGUAGAUGGAGAGAGCGAAGAAGAUGAAGCAAAAAACAUCUCUGGUGUCUGCCUCAUGUCGCGUGGUGAAUCAGAUUUAGAAUAUGACGACAAUGAGGCUUUGGUGGUGAGGAAGGAGAACGUGUGGAUCGUGGAUUCCGGUUGUUCGCGUCACAUGACCGGUGAUAAAAAUUGGUUCUCCUCCCUUAGACAAGCAUCCAAGACUGAAUCGAUUAUCUUUGGUGAUGCUUCUACUAGUGCCGUUCUUGCUACAGGUAUGGUCAAGGUACAUUGUCACAAAUUCAGGGGGAGAAUGGUCCUAUUUUUGAAGACGAGAGCGACGACAACGACAAGGUAGGCUCGGUCGGUUAGGUCGGGUGCCAAGCCGGUCAGACCGCCGACCCACCUUUGGUCAGACCAACACAGGAAGUGCGGUCAGACCGACCAGGGUUGUCAGGUGCUGGUUUUGUUGGUGCUAAUCACAAUGGUCCUCCAGAGGCUUCAACCUCGAUCAGUGAGAGUACAAAACGUGAAAUAAGCUCAGAAGUCGUUGCUCCUUUGCACAUUCAAUGACGACAUCCGCUAGAACAAAUCAUUGGUAAUUUUGGUGAGCGAACUACAAGGUCUAAGUUUGCUGAGACUAUGUGCAGGGAAUUUGAGAUGAGCAUGAUAGGUGAGUUAUCAUACUUUUUGGGGUUGCAAAUCAAACAAACACCUCAAGGUAUGUUUGUGCAUCAAAUGAAGUAUACGAAGGAUCUUUUGAGACGAUUCAAGAUGGAGAAUUGCAAGCCAAUUUCAACACCAAUUGGUACUACAACUGUGUUGGAUCCUGAUGAAUUGAUCAAAAGGAGUAUAGAAGCAUGAUUGGAUCUUUGUUGUAUCUAACUGUUUCUAGGCCAGACAUAUAAUUUGUUGUGUGUUUGUGGGCACGUUUUCAAGGUUCUCUUCGUGCUUCACAUCGUCAAGCAGUCAAGCGAAUAAUGAGGUAUUUGCAACAUACACUUGAGUUUGGCAUUUGGUAUUCUACAUCAUCUUCUAUAUGCUUGAGUAGAUAUUCCGAUGCUGAUUUUGCUGGGUGUAGAAUUGAUAGGAAAAGUACUAGUGUAACAUGUCAUUUUCUUGAUACUUCAUUGAUUGCAUGGUCUUCUAGGAAUAAUUCAUCCUUUUGGUAUGGUUUGAGGGAGAGUUUUGCACCUCAUGGUCUUCUCAAGCAAAAUAUGACAAUAAGAAAUUGACAAAGAGAGCUUUGUUUUAUACAUAUAAUAUUUCAUGUGCAUGCUAGCGAUACUAUGAAGGUUUAUUUGUCUCUAGCAUAGCUUGUAUGUAUUCUAGUCUUUUUAUGAGACUUAGAUAUUGCUUUUGAGAGAUAUGAUGCAUGACACUUAAAUUCUAUACUUAAAUUAAGAAAUUAUGCAAUAUUGAUGCUAGCAUAUGGUUUGAUUUAUAAAUGCUUGUAUGUAUGCGUUAUGAUUUGUUAUUCCUCAAAUAGAUUUUAAAUUGCUCAUUGUGCAAGAGAAUAAAAAAUACGAGAGAAAAAAAUGAAUACCGAAUUUUUCGACAGUCUUGACGACAAGGACAUAUUCGAUGUGUGAGGAAAAAAUGGGUGCCGAAUCCUUGGAAACAGUGUUGACGACAAGGACGUACCCGAGUAAUCGAGAGAAAAAUAUGAGCAAAAAGGCUUAAACAACGAAAAAAAAGGUGUUAAAAAUUCUCUUGGUAAUUUUGUGCUAAGGCUAAUUUGAGAAAGAGUGAUAAAUGCAAUAGAUAUAUAUAUUUAGUGUUUAUUCUUCAGUCUAUGUGCCUGUAACAGUGUUGCAUUAUAAAUCAUUUGAAAUCAUGAAUUUUACUUGUUGAGUUGAUCUUAAUUGCAUGAUCUUUGGUUCAUGAUUAUACUUUAAUACAUGCUUGCUAUAUUAUAGAUGCGUUCAUCUUCUUUUUAUUGCAACACAUGACUUAUUAUGCUAUGUGUAUGCUAAGCUCUUGAACAUUAAUGAACAUAAAUUCUACGCUUGAUGAAAUCAUUGUCAAAAGGGGAGAAGAAUUUUGGAAGAGAGAGAGAGCAUGUUUUUGGAAAAAUUCGGAAAUUUCUUUCGUUUCAAAAGUGAAAGAUGUUUCUUUUAAAUGAUUUUUGGAGUUGCUUCACAAAAACAACAAACAAUUUUAAUGUGUUUGUCGAUGUGUUCAUCAAGG